AAACUCAGUGGGUAAAUACGAACAUCCUGGUGCUCCAGAGGGAAGCACAGGUUCAGCCGGGCACCCUCUACUUCCGGAUAGGAAAGGCACAUCGCCCCAGCACCCUCUACUUCCGGAUAGGAAAGGCACAUCGCCCCAGCACCCUCUACUUCCGGAUAGGAAAGGCACAUCGCCCCAACUGCGGGAGGAUUCCCGUGGGCGUGACACCUGCUACAGUUGGGAGUGAUUUAGAGUCGACCUGACUUCAGAUUCCUUUAGGAUAAGCAGUGGAGUAGAUAGUUCGGGAUUAACAAGAAAAAAAAAAAAUCUAAGAGUUAAGAUUGACUGGUCCUUAAGUCUCUCCUCGAAAUAGCCUCACACAGUAUUGAUGUGUUCCAGCCUUGGCUUAGCCUCCUGUGAGACGGUUUGCUUUUUAGACAAACAAGCAGAUUUGGACUUUUCACCCUGAUAAGCAGAUGUGGAGCUUAGCCUUCAAAGAAAUACCUGCUGCGGGAAAUGACCCCAUGACCUUUUAAGACCUCUGGACAGAAACGAUUGGCUCCGGUUAACGACUGUACUCUCCCACUUCAAGGGCUGUUGACAAAGUUCGAUUCCUCGUGCACCUUUCCCAACUGCGUUUAAAUGCUCUCCAGCACAGUCUUUGGACCACGCUUUUCUCAGCCAUUUUGUGGGGAUAGCAAAGGCUGCUCGGUGCAGCCUUAUAAGCGUCAGCGUCUGACAAGGGUACAUGCCGGUUCUGAGUCAGUUCAUCCCAAGUCUGUGUCUCUCGCUGUCCCAAGUAGCCUCCAGCACCAGCUGAUUUCUUAUCAAGCCUUGUGGGACCAAGAGAAAACUCUACACGUAUUGCCCACAGAAUAUCAGGAAUGACCUCAUCCCGGGGUCUGCUUGAAGAAGGGAGAAUUGGGAGCAGCAGAAGGGAGAGGACUAUGGAGGGAUGAUUGUGAACAAAGCUUGAUGUCAUAAUGUAUGGAAAUAUCACAGUGAUAUUGUGAAGUGGGGGCGGGGUAGAGGGAGAGGUGGGGGGGCAAGCAUCUAGACUAUGGUAAGACUGGAAGCCAAAAGCCAUCAUGGCCUCUGCACAUCCCCCAAAUCUAAAUGUCAAAGGCUCAUGCAAACAGCACAGAUCCAUCAAAGCCUUGACUCUGUCUUGAUGUUACUGAAGCUGUUCCAUGCUUUGGAAAGACAUUUGCUAUCGGAUGUGCAGAAGAUGCCAAAAGGUUCCGGGAAUAUGCAUACCGCCUCCUGAAUCUCCUCCAGUGAUGGUGGGUGAACCAGUCCAACUGGUGGAGACCAAAAGAUGUAGGGAUACAGACAGGGAAGUGACAGUCAGCCAGCCAUCAGGGCCCUACGGUAACAAUUGCCUGCAUAACAGACCAGAACCUUACAAUCCACAGGACAGGCAGCACAUCACAGCCAAUGGCCUCCCACCUCUAAGUAGGUACUUGUGAUAGAAACAUGCUCUGUAGCUUUUAGGAAGCUUUGUUAACAUGGCAGGGUUUGGGUGACCUCUGGUCAGUUUUUCAUCUUCUUUUGGAGGGUGAAUGAUUGAAUGAUUAAUUUUUUAGACUCAAGAUGUAAGAGCAUCUUUGUCUUAGUCAGGGUUUCUAUUCCUGAACAAGCAUCGUGACCAAGAAGCAAGUUAGAGAAGAAAGGAUUUGUUCAGCUUACACUUCCAUACUGCUGUUCAUCACCAAAGGAUGCAGGACUGGAACUCAAGCAGGUCAGGAAGCAGGAGCUGAUACAGAGGCCAUGUAGGGAUGUUUCUUACUGGAUUGCUUUCCCUGGCUUGCCCAGCUUGCUUUCUUAUAGAACCAAGACUACCAGCCCAGGGAUGGCACCACCCACAAUGGGCCCUUUCAUCCUUGAUCACUAACUGAGAAAAUGCCCACAACUGGAUCUCAUGGAGGCAUUUCCUCAACUGAAGUUCCUUUCUCUGUGAUAACUCCAGCCUGUGUCAAGUUGACACACAAAACCAGCCAGUAGAAUCCUCCUAGAGAAGUGGUUGCUGGAAAUACUAACAUAACACCACCACCCAAAAAAGCAGGUGGAGUAGUAGCUUGACUUCUGCCUUAGACAUUUCUUAUUUUUCAUGACAGCAGGGCUUUCAAUCCGGUGUAUUUUCCCUGUUUGCUGUCUAAAAGUUCUGUCUUUAACACAGAAAUGAAAACUUUGUAAGGAGACAGAGAAUGCCAAAACAGCCAACCAACCAUUUUUUAUGAGUAGGACGCAGACUUUACAAAGACACCAAGUUACCGAAAGGAAGAUGAUGGCUCUGGGUCCCUCUGAAGUGGUAUGUCUGGAGGAAGGCAAUAUUAUCUUUUAGGGUAAAAGAAGUUCCCACGGAAAAGGACAAUCGUAUGCGCGCUGCAAGAUUUAAUUAAUAUUCCAGGCCUCCAGGCACUACAUGCCAGUGUUACCUCAUUACAAUAUACAUUACAGUCAUAUAUUGUAAUAAUAACAAAGAUUGCCCCAUAUUUCCACCUGUCCCCUGAAGGAACAACUUUGCAUUAAGUGGUUUACAAUCUAGCCGGGAAAUGCACCCUCACGGUGGAGGACCGAUCAGAGGAGGCUGGGAGCCACUGAAUGAGUAAAUGGGAGAUGGAGGAAGAGGACUCUUAACUGGGCCUUACAAAAUGGCCACACACAGAGAUCCUGACUGAGAAACGGUGAGACCUCCUGGAGUAGAGUAGUUGUAGAUAUCCAGUGGGAUUGGUUUCCAUAUGCUAUUUAUGACUUUAGCUAUACUAACCACACCCCCGUACCCAUCCAUUUAUGAAUCUCUGCAAAGGGGGAUAACUCUAUCCUAGAGUGGUUGUGGGAUACUAGAAAGUAUCUGUAUACAGUUGACUAAUAAUAAAUGUUGUUAUGUUAUUAAUAAUAAAAGUGUUAUUGUUACUAUUAAUUUAUCAUUACUCUGUUUAAGUUUAUAGUUAAAAUGUUGGAACAGUGAAUGCUGAGACGUGGAAAACAGCAUGUC
rnacentral:lncRNA from 1 species